GGAAAUUUUGUUCAUUAUUGCAGGUUGUCUUUGUAAGUUGGUGUAAGAGCUUCUGGGAUUGUGGACUUGUGGCACUGGAUGAUAUAUCAUUGAGCCUGGGAAGCUGCCAGGAUGCUGUUUUAAACAAUAACAUCUCGUUAUAGAUCUCUUGCCACCCUCUCCUGGUGAGUGUACUUUUGAAAAAGAUGAGUGUGUGUUUACCCAGAAGAAGAGAGGUCGUGGGAGCUGGCAGAGGAGGCGGGGUCCAACUCCCACCUCUUACACUGGACCAAAAGGGGACCACACUACUGGGGUAGAGAAGUUGGCUGCCCAUGGUCUGAAUGGGUGUACGCUCCGCUGGGUGAAGCACUGGCUGGAUGGCCGGGCCCAAAGGGUCGUGGUCAGUGGAGUCGGAUCUAGUUGGCGGCUGGUCACGAGCGGUGUCCCCCAAGGCGCAGA